AGAAAUUUAGUUUAAAUAAAAUAUUAAAUUGCAAAUUUUAAGAUAUAAAUUCUU
rnacentral:tRNA from 1 species